AUGUCUGAGUUGUGUUCAUGGUCAUGGUAAUUAUUUCUGACAUUUUUAUGCUUUAUGUUGUAGGUGGUGAAAAAUGCUCUCCAGGGUAAACCGGGUGGACAAAGUAUUUUGAAUGACUGUGAUGGUGACACACACACACAAAGGCUGGGAAAACCAGGCAUUCUUCUGUUGGUUCAUGUGCUUCGUCCUACAUCCAAAGGCCACAAGAAGAAUCCAAAACAGCUCAUGUCAAACUGUGGACCAUGUUUUCAGAUAUGUGCAGAUAUAUGCAAGCCAGUGUUGAAGCCUUCCUCAUUGCCGUGGAACCAGGACAGCCUUUCCUUCUGCAUGUUGGUGAAAACAAGAGCAGCACCAAAGACACUUGGUGAACUGAUGGUGAUCAGUGAUCACAAGAUCAUCCAAGUCCCUGUGGCAAGCAGUUUUCUGCAUGGUCAGCAUUGAAGGCCAUAUUGUCUUUGAGAGGGUCGAGCCAACAUUCCAGACAGGACAGUGUUGUCCAUCUUCUUCAUCUUCAACCUCCGAUAUCAACAUGAGGCAGCCAAGACUUCGGUUCAUUCAACGUCGCUUCAUUGGGAUUAACUCAGAAAGGGGCACAAAAGCCAGUCAUGGGAAGAUGGUGUCCAAAAAGACAGGAAAGACCAUUCAAAAGAAAAAGUGACAGUCAAUGUUCAGGUUUCCACCCUCAUCAAAAACCUGAUGGACUUUGAGUGGCAUCUCAUUCAGUAAGUGCCACUUGGACUCUUGAAAACAUUUUAAAACCGUGUUAAUACUAGAAUUCCACAUUAUUUCAGCCAUGGUGAAUUUUAGAUUGUGGAAGUCCUUUUUCAUUGAUUUGCUUAGUGAUACCCAAAGCAUGGAUAUUUUAAGAACUGUGUCUUUAUUUUCAUAAGCUCGUAGAAAUUAAUGAGUUAAACCCAGUUCAUGUCGCUGUAAACUGAAAGUCUUCAAUUUUUAUUCCGGUGUUAGUGAAACUAUAUAUUGACUUUGAAGGCCUAUUUUUUACCAGUUCUCUGAGGAGUGGUUUUGUGUUAUUUGUUUUGAAUGUUUGAAUAUAUUGGAAAUAUAUGUGGUUUGAGGCAUAGUGGUGCCUUUAAAUAAAAAUUCUAUUCUGAA